GAGUCCAAAAAGCAAAUGUUUCUUGUAGUGAUGAAUGUAUAUGCCCGAUGGCCUGAAAUCAUACAUAUGCAGACUACUACCAUGUGCAGAACAUUUGAAGU